GAUGAACGCUGGCGGCGUGCCUAAUACAUGCAAGUCGAGCGAACAGACGAGGAGCUUGCUCCUCUGACGUUAGCGGCGGACGGGUGAGUAACACGUGGAUAACCUACCUAUAAGACUGGGAUAACUUCGGGAAACCGGAUCUAAUACCGGAUAAUAUAUUGAACCGCAUGGUUCAAUAGUGAAAGACGGCUUUGCUGUCACUUAUAGAUGGAUCCGCGCCGCAUUAGCUAGUUGGUAAGGUAACGGCUUACCAAGGCAACGAUGCGUAGCCGACCUGAGAGGGUGAUCGGCCACACUGGAACUGAGACACGGUCCAGACUCCUACGGGAGGCAGCAGUAGGGAAUCUUCCGCAAUGGGCGAAAGCCUGACGGAGCAACGCCGCGUGAGUGAUGAAGGUCUUCGGAUCGUAAAACUCUGUUAUUAGGGAAGAACAAAUGUGGAAGUAACUAUGCACGUCUUGACGGUACCUAAUCAGAAAGCCACGGCUAACUACGUG
rnacentral:rRNA from 1 species